UUUAGCCAUGUAGCCUCGUCAACUAGCAGAGGUAAGGAAUUCAAGUUCUGAUCUUAUCCCUGGUUUAGGUCACAGCAACCACAGAAAACUGCUAAAUUCCAUCUUCCAUACCUCUCACCGGCCCCACCAAUUAGAAUGUGACUUAAUCCAUUAAUACAAGAAAAGGAAGAAUUGAUAGUGCCUCAUUCCCUUAAGAGUUUUCAAGGACAGUCUGUCAAGAAGAGUUUAUUGAUCGUAGCAUGCAACACUGAAAAGAGAACAGUAUAUUAUGAGGACAUAUGGAGAUGAGUAAGAAUAGAGAUGGCAAGCUGGUGCCAACAUGGAAAUGGAAAUGAGUUAUCACUAUAAUUUUAAAGGAUAAUACCCUGGAGACUCUGGUGUCAACUACAAUGAAUAAUCUCAUUUUAACCCAAAGAAUAAAAUCUUUACUCAAGCUGUGUGCCGGCCACUAGGUCUUGAAGCUGAAGGAACCAACAAAAUCAUUCUUUUCUAGAAGCCCCGGAUAGGAAACCAUGACAGAGAGAGUCCAAGAUAUAAUUUUUUGAGUCCUACAGAUGCAAAAUCAAUAUGGUCUCAUAAACCAUAUAUUGCCUUCAGGGGAGGGAGGAUGGGAAUAUAGGCUUCAUUAUCUCUGACAGAGUCUUUUACAUUUUUGUUUCUCCUAAGGUUGUAUAUUGCCCAACACAAAUCUAUCUUCAAGAACAAGAGUUCAGCUUGAAACAAAAAACAUUUCCAGCUUCUUCUAUCCUUGUGGAUGUGAAUUCAUGGAUUCUGAGACCAUUUUUCAAGCACAGGAUCAGAGUAUUUAAAGGCAGAUGCAAGGAAACUUGGAAAACAUCUAGUCUAAUCUAGUAAUUCAUUUUACAAAAGUGUCAAAGAGACCUAUGCUUGUUCAUUAGUCAGUCAAGAAAUAUCUAUUAAUCAUCUCCUAAAUCUCUAAUACUCUAUACACUUUGAAUAAGACUACCAACUCAGGAUUCAUCAGACACCGAACAAUGGGGAUGCUUCAUAUCUUACACUGUAUCUUAACUAUGAAUUUAAAGGACAAAGACUCUCAAAUACUUUCAUACUCUUCAGGACAGUCAGAGGAUCACCAGUGGAAGGAAAUACUGUACUCUAAUGAUAAAUCUCAAUACUAGUCCUGUUUUUGCUCUCAUUUCAAACCUGUCUUCAGUAUGUACCUUCUAGACCCAAGAACCUAGCAAAUAGUUUUUUUUUUUCUCCCCUGCCUAUUUCCUCAUCAGCCAACCUCUGAAUUCUUUCAAUUUUUGGACCUUGUAGUUCAGGGUCAGAUACAGAUGCCUGUAUUUUACCAUAGAGACAAACAGAGAGAGCAGCAUCUCCUUGCCAGGUCUGGAGGGUACUGUUUGCUGCUCAGGAUAAUCCCAGGGGUGAGAUAAAAAUCUCAUCCCUGUGGGUAUCAAGCUGUGUUCAUUACAUACCGCCACUAAUUUAAUUUUUUACAGUGUGAACUGACCUGCCAAACUUUUAUUGUUUUUACUACUUGAGAAGUUAGCUAUGGAGGGGAAAGGGGAAAAUACCAAUAUCCCGCCUUUCCUGGAGCCCCUAGGGAGUCUAUGUUCCGGCACUCUCUCAAUUCUUACAAUUGCUCUUUUUUUUUUUUUAAACAAUACACUCUCCAUGGGCCAGUCAGCUUACUAGAUGAAAUGAAAAGCUUCUUUCCUGAAUGCUUACCCCUUUCAGCAAGCAGAAGAUUGGACAAAGAGAUAGAGACAACUGUUCUCCACUAGUGGCUCUGAAAACACCUCCUUGGCCUGCCUUCAAAUUGUGACAUCUCCCCACACCAAAAAAGCAGUAUGGCAUUUUUUAUUUGAUGCCAACAGAGUGGGAAGGUUACGUAUCUAGAAUCUGAAAAUCAAGCUCAAAAUUCAGAAUUUAAAAGUUGUGAGAAUAAAUGUUCAUCCACCUAGAUGGGCAGCAUAGGAUGAUGGGAAAAGCACUGAACCAAAGCUGGAGUAAUAAAAAGGGCUCUAUUACUAAUGA